UAAUCACCUUCCUGACACUGGUUUGAGUCUUCCUUCCCGGGACUUGAGCGGCGAAUCUCUCCAAAAGAAGUGAAGUCUAUGCGGCAGACUGGGGGUAUAAUUAUGUUUUAUGUGUUGAGUACAGCGAGGAAACUGUCCCGGUUGGUGCAGCGAUGAAUUACAAGGUACGUUUUUUGUUUUAUUGCAUCUGAGACGGGAGGGGGGGAGGGGGGAAGGAAUUGAAGUGAGGAACGACAUGUCACUUUAUACCUUGAAGUGCCAGUAAUGCUCGGUGAAGUUUGAGAAAAUUUAUUCCUGCCUUCCUCAGCCAGUUUGUAUUGUCAUGUCUUGUAUCGCAGAAGUUGGAAUUUAAAUCCAUGGGGUACUUUCCCUUCGUCUUUUCUCUUUUCCUUCUUUUCACAGCGUCAUUUCUCAUCAGAUGAAGGUGAGGCGAAGGAAGGGAAAUCUCACAUGCCGCAUAAUUCAUUUGUCACAGCGUCACUCAGCUUUGUGUCAAAACUGCCUGUCUGAAGACAUUGCACUGUGCGGCGGGUCCCGGGUGGACUGCAAGCGGCGAUCGUUGCGAUGCAGGUGGUGAAGGUGAUAGCCAUGAGAGCAGUGCUUAUGGGGGAAGCGUCCGUGGAUGGAAUCCAGACGUCAGAUAUUGCGGGUGCGGUUGUAAAGGUGCCUCCUCUAUGGUGGAGAAAUGGUGGUGGUGAUGGUCGUGCAGUGGCGGCGGCGUGAGUGUUGAGUUUGUGAAUGGUGGUGGCGAGGUGGCGUGUGGGAUGGGAAUGUGGUGUGUGUGUGUGUGUGUGUUGGCAGUAGUGGUGUCGGUGGUGUCAAAGGAAUGGAUCGGGAGGUGGUAGGUCCACGGGGUGGCGGCGCCGGUGGGGGCAGCGGCCGGGCCGGACAGACUGCCAGAGUAGCGUGUCGGGCAGCAUAGGUGGCGGGCCCGGCGAGCUGGUAGUGUCGCCCAGACUCUCGCCGAGGAGGGGUGUAGUGCGCAUUAGCUCCCUGCCAGUGUGGAGGCUGCGCUGCCACCUGGUCCCGAGUCCCGAGUCCAGGAGAGAGUAGUGGAUGUGUUUUUCCAGAACUCUGUUAUUUUUGAUGUCAGAGCGCGAGGCAGCGAGUCGUUAGUGAUAACAGAGCAUUGCUUUGGACCCCCGCUCGAAAUGAGGCUAAAGCCGUGAGUGGCUGGCCCUACACGAGGCGCCCCAGGGACAUGCCGCCGCCAGCCACUCCUGCGCCCCCACAUUCCCGCCAGUGAACACUUGAUGGAACGGAAUUGCACUCAGCCUGCCCUCGCACCCGUCAUGGGCGGCGUCGAGUGAUGGGCGGUGGUGUGGGCGGGUCAGCCAAGUAGCCACCAAGUCGGACGCGGCGGCGGCGCGAGGGCGGCUCCCUGCCCUAAGUGUCGGCUUGCCCGGCACCGCCCACCCAGGGGCCGAGGCGGACAGCUGCCACGCUCCAUUAAGGUAAAUGCCACCCAUUCACUCUACACUCCCCCUUAACGGUACUGUAUUUUUCAUU